AGGACGAACGCUGGCGGCGUGCGUAAUACAUGCAAGUCGAGCGGACUCGGAUUUCGGUCCGAGUUAGCGGCGGACGGGUGAGUAACGCGUGAGUGACCUAGCCUGGUGGUGGGGGAUAACUGCCCGAAAGGGUGGCUAAUCCCGCAUGGGCCCUCUGGGUCGGACCAGAGGGGAAAGCUUCGAAAGAGGCGCCCGAGGGGGGGCUUGCGUCCCAUUAGGUGGUUGGUGGGGUAGUGGCCUACCAAGCCGAUGAUGGGUAGCUGGUCUGAGAGGAUGGCCGGCCACACUGGGACUGAGAGACGGCCCAGACUCCUACGGGGGGCAGCAGUAAGGGAUCUUCGCCAAUGGCC
rnacentral:rRNA from 1 species